CGUAGGGGGCAAGCGUUGUCCGGAUUCAUUGGGCGUAAAGAGCGUGUAGGCGGCCAGGUAGGUCCGUUGUGAAAACUCGAGGCUCAACCUCGAGACGUCGAUGGAAACCAUCUGGCUAGAGUCCGGAAGAGGAAAGUGGAAUUCCUGGUAUAACAAUGAAAUGCGCAGAUAUCAGGAAGAACACCUAUGGCGAAGGCAGCUCUCUGGGACAAUACUGACGCUGAGACGCGAAAGCGUAAAAAGCGAACAGGAUUAGUUACCCUGGUAGUCCACGCCGUAAACGAUGGGAACUAGGUGUGAGCAAUGUCGACUCCGUCCGUGCCGAAGCUAACACAUUAAGUUCCCCGCCUGGAAAGUACGGCCGCAAAGCUA
rnacentral:rRNA from 1 species